GCGGGAGGAAGGGCGGCCGCUCCGACCGCAAGGACGGAGAGGAAAGUCCAGACAGCAGAGAGCAGGGUGCCCGGCGCAAGCCGGGGCCGGGUAACCGGUGGCAGAGCCACAGAGACCAAUGCCCUGCGCAAUCAGGGAGUGAAAAGGGUAAUCCCCCCCCGCUGCAACCCGAAGCAUGGCUGUUGACGCUGCUCGCCGAGGCCAGGGUACGGGGCACCCCGAUUCGUCGGGGCGGUUCGCUCUUACGAACCGAGACAGAUGGUCGCCAUCAACAGAAUCUGGCUUACUCUCCUCCCGCGCUC
rnacentral:RNase_P_RNA from 1 species